AACUAUCGACCACUUUCUCCACAACCGCUCUCCUCUCUCUCCCUCUCCACCAUGGCUUCUCUUCUCUCCCUCUCCAUUGUCUUGCAUUCUCUCUCCGCUGCACACACUCUCUCUCUUUGUUGUCACACUUCUUCUCUUCCAUCGAGAAACACAACCACAACAUCAUCGUCGCAAUCCAUCGAGGUACUAUUUUUCCUCUUUUUAUAUUUGC
rnacentral:lncRNA from 1 species